UACGUAGGUGGCAAGCGUUGUCCGGAUUUACUGGGAGUAAAGAGCGCGCAGGCGGUCGUCCAAGUCGCGUGUGAAAGCCCCCGGCUCAACUGGGGAGGGUCACGCGAUACUGGUCGACUCGAAGGCAGGAGAGGGUAGUGGAAUUCCCGGUGUAGUGGUGAAAUGCGUAGAUAUCGGGAGGAACACCAGUGGCGAAGGCGACUACCUGGCCUGUUCUUGACGCUGAGGCGCGAAAGCUAGGGGAGCAAACGGG
rnacentral:rRNA from 1 species